rnacentral:lncRNA from 1 species
UCCGUCGGCGUCCUCGGCAAACUCCUGCUGACAGUCCGGGUCCUCGGCGUCAAACUCGCGGUACUCGUCUCCAACGUUCUCGUUCUCUGGCUCGUUCACUCCGUCAACUAAAAUACGCGACGAACGAUACAGACAACAGGCACAGAUAAAUAAUCAUAUAAAUUCAUAUGAGCUCCAAAAAUCAUGAAAUUAAUAUGGGAGGUAGAUCAUGAUUUUAGAUGAAUUUAGGAAAAAGGAUUAUUAAAAUCAGAGUUAGCAUGUGGCAUUUGUGAAAUGGCCGGAAUUUAAUCAUGCGAAAAAGGCUAACGAUGAUUAAGGAAUGGAUGCUUCACGUGGGCAUUUGUUUGGCUGGUAGUGCAUGUUGCAUGCAUGCAUGUACUAUUUGGAGUUAAUGCUUGGCCCACACAUGCAUGGUUAGAGAGAAAUUAGCAGGGGUCAUUAGAACUCUUCUGUAUGUCAUGGUUCUAUUCGUGGAGUUCUUGGCAGUGAACCGGUACAGACAAAUACAUGGAAAAAUACAGAAAAAUACUACAGAAAGACAGAGAAGAGCAAGGAGAUGCUCAUGAGCCGCUCACCUCGUCUUGCGACGACAGUCGAGCUCGGCUUGUGCGUAUGGCCGUAUACGGUAUACGCGAAGUGAGAGCGAGUGAGCGAGUGAGUGAACGUGUUUCUCGGGUGG